AUUAUCGAGUUUUUGAACGGGUUGUAGCUGGUCUCUCUCGGGACAUGUGCACGCCUGGCUCAAUCCACUCUUCAAACCAUUGUGCACUUAUUGUAGGUCGGUUGAAAGGCUUCUUGGGCUCAGUAAAAUGAAUUCAAGAUGCUGGAAGGCCUUCCUAUGUUUUUAUUACAAACGCUUCAGUCAUAGAAUGUCAUUUACUUGCGUAUAACGCAUCUAUAUACAACUUUCAGCAACGGAUCUCUUGGCUCUCGCAUCGAUGAAGAACGCAGCGAAAUGCGAUAAGUAAUGUGAAUUGCAGAAUUCAGUGAAUCAUCGAAUCUUUGAACGCACCUUGCGCUCCCUGGUAUUCCGGGGAGCAUGCCUGUUUGAGUAUCAUGGAAUUCUCAACCUUCAAUACUUUUUUGUAUUCGAAGGCUUGGACUUGGAGGCUUGUGCUGGCUGCUCGUUCAGUCGGCUCCUCUGAAAUGAAUUAGCGUGAAUCACUACGGAUCGCUUCAGUGUGAUAAUUAUCUGCGCUGUAGUCGUGAAGUAUUAAUAAGUUCGCGCUUCUAAUCGUCCUUUCAUUAGGAUAAUUAACUAUGAACUUUUGAUCUCAAAUCAGGUAGGACUACCCGCUGAACUUAAGCAUAUCAAUAAGCGGAGGAAAAGAAACUAACAAGGAUUCCCCUAGUAACUGCGAGUGAAGCGGGAAAAGCUCAAAUUUAAAAUCUGGUAGUCUUUGGCUGCCCGAGUUGUAAUCUGGAGAAGUGUUUUCCGCGUUGGACCGUGUACAAGUCUCUUGGAACAGAGCGUCAUAGAGGGUGAGAAUCCCGUCUUUGACACGGACUACCAAUGCUUUGUGAUACACUCUCAAAGAGUCGAGUUGUUUGGGAAUGCA
rnacentral:rRNA from 1 species